GAUAAAAUGGCUGAGGUUUAGGCGAUAGACUGUAAAUCUAUAUACGAGUUUUAGAGGCUCUUUUAUUG
rnacentral:tRNA from 1 species